UGGAGGUGAGCGCAGGAAUGUAAAUAUUUAUUAGCGGGUCUGUGUGCAGAUAUGGAGAUGCACUGCCAGCUCGGGUGAGGACUGACAUUUCAUCAGCACUCCUGCCCGGCCUGCCAGGUCUGCUGGCUAGCUCAUAAAUAAUUACACCGGGAGCUGGAUUUGGUAUUACAGAAGGAUUUUGUACAGCGUCUGCAGCACAAACAAGCUUGCUUUAAUGGAGUAUGCGAGCCUCGAGCAGGAGCGAAGGGGCUGGCGGGUCAGCGACAGCCAGCGGAGGCAGCUGCAGGACGGGAGCCCACGGCAGCUGGUGUGCCCAGCCUAGCAGACAGCACGGCCUCUGCAGAGCACCGCAGGGGGAUCGGGUGCCCGCGGGGGUAGCGGGGGCUCCGUGGGUGCAGCCCCCUGCUCCACAGAGAGGGUCUGGCACCUGGCGCAGGCACUCUGCUUCUCCCCAGGGACGGUUUUUCCCUCCAUCCACUGCGGCCACCCGGUCCCUGUGGCGAAGGCACCCGUCCCGAUGGCCCCACGGAGACUGUCCUCGCUUCAGGCUCGGACCAGGGGAGCGGCUGAGCAGUGGCUGUACCUGACACACUGCGUGGGUGUGUGCCAGGCCCAGACCCCCGCCUCUGCCCACGGACACGCGGGCCGCUGCUCCCAGCCGCUGGCUGAGCCUCAAGCAACCGCGCGUGCCCCGGGGGCUGCCGGGGCGCAGGGGGCUCCCCCACGGGGCCAUCGUGGCCUGGGCGCCCCAGGCAGCUCAACGCCCCCCACCCGAGGGCUCACCCUGUCCUGAGCUGGGGAACACGGGCAGGGAAGUGUAUUAGGUGAGGGAAGGGGUACACCAACAAAGGGAGAAAGGAGGCAAAAUACUUAAAAAUGCAAACUGCAUCUGUCAUCAUUGUCUCUGUGAAAGCAGUUCUGUGCUACUGUGCAUUUUUAAAUAGUUGGCAUGGUCUAAUAAAGAGCUGGCUGCA